GCCUUGUUGGNUUCUCUGUNUUUGAAGNGNUUGCUCUGAUAUGACNAUNAACAUUGUNNNUGGAGUGGCGAACGGGUGAGUAACACGCUGGGAAACCUACCUCUUANNAAGGGGAUAACAUCUGGAAACAGAUGCUAAUACCGCAUAACACUAGCAACCGCAUGGUUGCUACUUGAAAGAUGGUUCUGCUAUCACUAAGAGAUGGUCCCGCGGCGCAUUAGUUAGUUGGUGAGGUAAUGGCUCACCAAGACGAUGAUGCGUAGCCGAGUUGAGAGACUGAUCGGCCACAAUGGGACUGAGACACGGCCCAUACUCCUACGGGAGGCAGCAGUAGGGAAUCUUCCACAAUGGACGAAAGUCUGAUGGAGCAACGCCGCGUGUGUGAUGAAGGGUUUCGGCUCGUAAAACACUGUUGUAAGAGAAGAAUAGCAUCAAGAGUAACUGCUUGGUGUGUGACGGUAUCUUACCAGAAAGGAACGGCUAAAUACGUGCCAGCAGCCGCGGUAAUACGUAUGUUCCAAGCGUUAUCCGGAUUUAUUGGGCGUAAAGCGAGCGCAGACGGUUUUUUAAGUCCGAAGUGAAAGCCCACAGCUUAACUGUGGAAGUGCUUUGGAAACUGGAUGACUUGAGUGCAGUAGAGGAGAGUGGAAUUCCAUGUGUAGCGGUGAAAUGCGUAGAUAUAUGGAGGAACACCAGUGGCGAAGGCGGCUCUCUGGACUGUAACUGACGUUGAGGCUCGAAAGUGUGGGUAGCAAACAGGAUUAGAUACCCUGGUAGUCCACACCGUAAACGAUGAGUGCUAGAUGUUUGGGGGUUUCCGCCCCCUAAGUGUCGCAGCUAACGCAUUAAGCACUCCGCCUGGGGAGUACGACCGCNAGGUUGAAACUCAAAGGAAUUGACGGGGAACCCCCCCAACCGUGGA
rnacentral:rRNA from 1 species